UACAGGGGGGGCGAGCGUUGUUCGGAAUUACUGGGCGUAAAGGGCUUGUAGGUGGCUUGUUAAGUCAGACGUGAAAUCCCUCAGCUUAACUGGGGAACUGCGUCUGAUACUGAUGAGCUUGAGUGCAGGAGAGGAACGCGGAAUUCCAGGUGUAGCGGUGAAAUGCGUAGAUAUCUGGAGGAACACCGGAGGCGAAGGCGAAUCACUGGACCGCUUCUGACGCUGAGGCGCGAAAGCUAGGGGAGCAAACAGG
rnacentral:rRNA from 1 species